GUUCUGUAAACAUUUUUUUUUAUAAAUAUUUUAACCAGAAUUUCUAAGUUGCAGUUUACAAGUAUUAUAGAGCAUUACCAUUAUGGGGAUAAGCAUGGUUAAAGAAGUUAUUAUAUGCUGCUGUAAGACUCGUAGCAGAUGGCAGCUGUAGUGCUGGGCAGGGUCCAACAAAAACAAUGUGAAGAAACCACAAAACCACACACAGCAAUAUACAAAGCAGGAUGGAAAUUUUGGAGACCUGCGGUUAAGGGAUGCCAAAGCAAGCCUUUGUUACCAUAGAAACAGAAACGCAGUAUGCCUCCACAAUAAGGCACCCAGCAAACCGUUCCCAAGAGUAUGAUGACAGUCAGAUUAAGUGUGCGUCACCUCUGUACUCAUUCGUG